rnacentral:rRNA from 1 species
GCUAAGGUAGCGCAAUCACUUGCCCUUUAAUUGUGGGCUAGUAUGAAUGGCUAGACAAGAGCUUGGCUGUCUCAAAGGGGCUUAUGAAAAUUAACCUUUAGGUGCAGAGGCCUAAAUUUUAGUGAAAGACAAGAAGACCCUAUCGAGCUUUAAUUUUUUCUAUUAUUAUAANUAGUAUAAAUUUUUAUUGGGGCAAUAAAGGAGCAAUUUAAGCCUCCUUAAAUCUAAAGUUAAACUAAUUUAUAAAAGAAACAUUUAUAAUGCUCUUAGGAAAAAGCUACCGUAGGGAUAACAGACUAAUUUCCCUCAAGAGUCCACAUUGACAGGGAAGUUUGGCACCUCGAUGUUGGCUUAAAAAACAGUUAUGAAGCAGACCUCUAACCC